GCAUUUUGGGGUUAGUGUGGCCUGGGGUGUGGUUAGUGAUGAAUGUGUGAGCAUGAGUGUGAGUGAGUGUGCAAGGUAAGUGUGUGCGCCCACUCCUGCACCCGUUCCCCGCCUACACCUUGAUCUUAUUUGACCGGGUUGAUCGGGUCGAACCCUCCACCCCUCAGCCCUGUCGGGUUCAACCUGAGAUGAAAAAAACCCCCCUCCUGUGAAGCCCCCCUGCUUGGGCCCUGUGCAGUGAGGCCUACUGGAGGCAGUGGCACCAUCACCUGAGGCCUAGUUCGGUCACAGCCCAGAGUCCGUUCUGAGGGGGUCCGGUGCUCGGAUGUGAUGAAUUGAUCAGAUAGAGGAGGCCCGGAGUUUCGAUCCCCAGGCCGCUGAUUUAUCAAAGGCAAUUCUGAUCUGA